CUCGGGUUUCGAUAUAAUUUCCUCCACUCCCUUAUCUUCAUGAUUGAGCAUGGGUCUUUGCAAUACUAAGAGUCCACUGAUCAAUGUCCAAAAUAAGGGGGUUUAAGAAAGAAUUAAACCAAAUUGCAUUGUUUUCAAAACAAAUGCAUCAUGAUUUCCAAAUUCUUCCUUAUAAAUUGCUUGUUCCCUUCCUUGUUCACUCACUGGGUUUAUACUCACCGUUUUCAACUUCAUGUUUUC
rnacentral:lncRNA from 1 species